CAAUAGCGUAUAUUAAAGUUGUUGCAGUUAAAAAGCUCGUAGUUGGAUUUCUGGUGGGAGCGAUCGGUCUGGCGCUUAGCGCGAGUACUUGCAUCGUCUCCGGCCAUCCUUGGGGAGAGUCUGUCUGGCAUUAAGUUGUCGGGCAGAGGAUCCUCAUCGUUUACUGUGAAAAAAUUAGAGUGUUCAAAGCAGGCUUAUGCCGUUGAAUAUAUUAGCAUGGAAUAAUAAGAUAGGACUUUGGUACUAUUUUGUUGUUUUGCGCACCAAAGUAAUGAUUAAUAGGGACAGUUGGGGGUAUUCGUAUUCCGUUGUCAGAGGUGAAAUUCUUGGAUUUACGGAAGACGAACUACUGCGAAAGCAUUUACCAAGGAUGUUUUCAUUAA
rnacentral:rRNA from 1 species